GACGAACGCUGGCGGCGUGCUUAACACAUGCAAGUCGAACGGAAAGGCCCUGCUUGCCGGGUGCUCGAGUGGCGAACGGGUGAGUAACACGUGGGUGAUCUGCCCCUUACUUUGGGAUAAGCCUGGGAAACUGGGUCUAAUACUGGAUAGGACCAUGCUGUAGGUGGUGUGGUGGAAAGAUUAGUUUCGGUAAGGGAUGAGCUCGCGGCCUAUCAGCUUGUUGGUGGGGUAAUGGCCUACCAAGGCGUCGACGGGUAGCCGGCCUGAGAGGGUGGACGGCCACAUUGGGACUGAGAUACGGCCCAGACUCCUACGGGAGGCAGCGGUGGGGAAUAUUGCACAAUGGGCGCAAGCCUGAUGCAGCGACGCCGCGUGGGGGAUGACGGCCUUCGGGUUGUAAACUCCUUUCAGCCAUGACGAAGCCCUUGUGGUGACGGUAGUGGUAGAAGAAGCACCGGCUAACUACGU
rnacentral:rRNA from 1 species